rnacentral:rRNA from 1 species
UAACACGUAGGGACCAAGCGUUGUCCGGAUUUAUUGGGCGUAAAGCGCUCGUAGGCGGUUCGGUAAGUCGGGUGUGAAACCUCCAGGCUCAACCUGGUGACGCCACCCGAUACUGCCGUGACUUGAGUUCGGUAGGGGAGCGGGGAAUUCCUGGUGUAGCGGUGAAAUGCGCAGAUAUCAGGAGGAACACCGGUGGCGAAGGCGCCGCUCUGGGCCGAAACUGACGCUGAGGAGCGAAAGCGUGGGGAGCGAACAGGAUUAGAUACCCUGGUAGUCCACGCCGUAAACGUUGGGCACUAGGUGUGGGUCCUAACCAACGGGAUCCGUGCCGUCGCUAACGCAUUAAGUGCCCCGCCUGGGGAGUACGGCCGCAAGGCUA